rnacentral:piRNA from 1 species
GCCUUGUACGAGCCUCUUCUUUGUUCUGC